AAAGGAUCUGCAACUGGAUACUUUACCAAUGGUCUAAUGCUAAGGAAUAAGGAUGUAUUGCUGGAUUUAGAGAUUGCAGUCAUAGUAAUGUACCCAACUUCUAACGGAAGGUAAAAUAGUUUUAUUAUACAAGGCCAGGUUUGCUAUCUUAUUGAUUUAUAAGGAUAGGUUUAUUAGAUUUUGUUGUCUAGCUGUUACAUGAAAAUAGCAUCUACUUUUAGAUCUGGCAUCAACACAAAAAUAGUUUGAUGAUCUUGCAAGAUUCAGCUAUAAAACACAAAUGGUCGCAGAUGACUCUUUUCUUUUCGUGUCAUACAAUUAAUUGUGAAAAAUAACCAUCUACAUUUUGUCUAUAGAAUCUUCCUUAUCCUGCAACGCAUCUGCAGCCUUUUUCAUUUUAGCUUCAGACAGUGCGGAUUCCUCUUCUUUCUUUAUCAUCAGUUGUUUUGCCUGUUUGAGAGCUUCAACCAGCUUCAGAAGGCAUUUCUCUGAGUCUUCUUUCAGGGAGCUGGGCAUCAGGUUCUCUGCAACAUCGGCAGGUAUAAUCUUUGUCUCCCUCGUUAGAAUUUCAAUUGAUUCAAAUAUGGGAUGUGUGUCCAAGCGCAGGUAAUUCUUUGCAAGCACCUUGAAUCCAUCAAAACUACAGUAUGAGAGCUCGAUGUGCUUAUCCAUUCUUCCCCUUCUUGUAAGAGCUGGAUCCAACUUAUCUACAUAAUUUGUAGUAAAGACAAUUAUACGUUCUCCACUGCAUGCAGACCAAAGACCGUCAAUGAAGUUCAGAAGCCCAGAGAGAGUGACUCUACUUCCACUCUCUUCAGUGUCCUUGCGAGAAACUUCUUUCUUUGUCUUUUCAAUCUUCUCUUCUGGAGGUUUCUUCUUCCUUUGACCGGUUAGAUCAAGUGAGCAGUCAAUAUCUUCUAUCACUAUAAUAGACUUACUUGUUGUUUCAGCCAAGAGCCUUCUCAAUUCUGUGUUGUCCCUCACAGAUGUCAAUUCAAGAUCACAGACGUCAUAAUCCAAUAAAUUUGCCAUUGCAGCAAUCAUAGUAGACUUCCCAGUACCCGGCGGACCAUAUAGUAGAUAACCACGCUUCCACGCCUUGCCAAUCCUCGCAUAGAAAUCCUUGCUCUCUCUAAACAUGAGGAGAUCAUCCACAAUAUCUUGCUU
rnacentral:lncRNA from 1 species